UACGUAGGGUGCAAGCGUUAUCCGGAUUUACUGGGCGUAAAGCGCGUGUAGGCGGUUGCGUAAGUUGGUUGUGAAAUCCCUCGGCUCAACCGAGGAACUGCAGCCAAUACUGCGCGGCUUGAGUGGCAGAGAGGAAAGUGGAAUUCCCGGUGUAGUAGUGAAAUGCGUAGAUAUCGGGAGGAACACCAGUGGCGAAGGCGGCAUCCUGGACCAUAACUGACGCUGAGGCGCGAAAGCUAGGGGAGCGAACGGG
rnacentral:rRNA from 1 species